UGCAAGUCGAGCGAGAAAGGGUAGCAAUACCUGAGUAAAGCGGCGCACGGGUGAGUAACACGUGGAUAACCUGCCUCAAAGUGGGGGAUAACACCGGGAAACCGGUGCUAAUACCGCAUACUCUGACGAGACCUGAGGGUUUUGUCAGCAAAGGAGCAAUUCGCUAUGAGAGGGGUCCGCGGCUGAUUAGCUAGUUGGUGAGGUAAUGGCUCACCAAGGCAACGAUCAGUAGCCGGUCUGAGAGGACGGUCGGCCACACUGGAACUGAGACACGGUCCAGACUCCUACGGGAGGCAGCAGUGGGGAAUUUUUGGCAAUGGGCGAAAGCCUGACCAAGCAACACCGCGCGGAUGAUGAAGUAUCUCGGUACGUAAAAUCCUUUCGACGGGGACGAAGCCGCAAGGUUGACGGUACCCGUAGAAGAAGCCCCGGCUAACUCCGUGCCAGCAGCCGCGGUAAUACGGGGGGGGCAAGCGUUGUUCGGAAUUACUGGGCGUAAAGGGCGCGUAGGCGGCCUGCUAAGUCGGGUGUGAAAACUCUGGGCUCAACCCAGAGCCUGCAUUCGAAACUGACGGGCUUGAGUUCUGGAGGGGAAAGCGGAAUUCCUGGUGUAGCGGUGAAAUGCGUAGAUAUCAGGAGGAACACCGGUGGCGAAGGCGGCUUUCUGGACAGAAACUGACGCUGAGGCGCGAAAGCUAGGGGAGCAAACAGGAUUAGAUACCCUGGUAGUCCUAGCCCUAAACGAUGGAUACUUGCUGUGAGGGGGAUUGAAUCCCUUCGUGGCGAAGCUAACGCAUUAAGUAUCCCGCCUGGGGAGUACGGUCGCAAGGCUGAACUCAAAGGAAUUGACGGGGCCCGCACAAGCGGUGGAGUAUGUGGUUUAAUUCGACGCAACGCGAAGAACCUUACCUGGGCUCGAACGGCUAGUGACA
rnacentral:rRNA from 1 species